GCGCUGUAUAUCGUACGGGAACGUUCUCCUUUCCUUUUUUUAUAGUAUGACCGGACGACCGGACUGUAGUGAGACCAUACUUUACUCCAUCUCUACUUUACCUGCCUGGUCGCCGGAUCCAAAAUCUAGCUAGGUUGCUACAGCUGGAUGCGAUCCAAAUCGGCCAAGAGCAAGCAACUACUCCAUCCAUCUCCUCCCAUCUCUGUCUGGGAACUCAGAUCAUCGUCUCGGAUAGGCUUGGGUGGCGGAGAUGGACAGCACGUGCUUUAGACUCCAUCAGCUUGAAGCCAUUACAAACAACUUCUCAGGGGAUCAAAAAGUAGGCAGCGGCGGGUAUGGAGAUGUUUACAAGGCGGUGCUUAAUGGCGAAGAGAUUGCUGUGAAGAAGCUUCAUGUUUUGCAAGGACUCGAUGAUGAGGAUUUUCGCAAUGAACUCUGUAACUUUAACAAGGUCAAUCACAAAAAUAUCAUACGGUUAAUUGGCUACUGCCAUGACACACACGAGAGAUGCGUGGAAUAUGGAGGGGAACUUAUCUUAGCGAGAAUAGUGGAGCGACUUCUCUGCUUCGAGUAUAUGCAGGGGGGAAGCCUUGAUAAGCAUAUUGGAGAUGAAUCUUGCCUACUUGAUUGGGCCACAUGUUAUAAAAUCAUUCAAGGGACAUGCGAGGGAUUAAAUCACCUUCACAAUGCACAGGAAAAACCAAUUUUCCAUCUGGACUUAAAGCCUUCUAAUAUAUUGCUGGAUAACAACAUCACGCCGAAAAUUACAGAUUUACAUUUCUCGACACGUGUUGCUUCAACAGAAGAAUAUUACAAAACAGAGAUUAUUAGAGGGACAAUGAGCUAUAUGCCACCAGAAUACAUAGAAUGUGGUAUUGUAUCAAACAAAUUUGACGUGUUCAGUUUGGGUGCAGUAAUUAUAAGAGUGGUGGCAGGAAAUAAGGGCUACUACCGUGGUCAUCGUGAAUUGUCUCGCACGCAGUUUAUCGAGCUUGUAGUUGAAAACUGGAAGGGAAGGUUGCAACCAAGUUCCGAGUAUCGAUCACACGACAUAGACAUAUUACGGGUGCGUACAUGUGUUGAGAUGGCAUUACGAUGUGUGGACAGAGACCGGGAAAAAAGGCCCUGUAUAGAGGAUAUUGUCCAUGAACUGGAGGAACUAGAAGCUGAGAUUAAGAGAAUAAUGUCAGUACCUCUUGAGGAGUCAAAAGUCUUAAUACCGCAGAUGGGAUCCAAUCCAUACCACCUCCCGUUACAACAUUUGAAAGACAUCACAGACAAUUUCUGUGAUGACCGCAAACUUGGUAGUGGUGGUUUUGGUGUCGUAUAUAAGGGAGUGCUGCAAAAUGGGAAUAUGGUUGCAGUGAAGAAGCUUGUGAUGUCCACGCCGAAGUCACAGAACCAAUUUGAGAAUGAGGGUGAUCUUCUUAUGACACUGAAGCACCCAAAUAUAGUGCGACUAUUGGGCUACUGCUAUGAAACAGAACUUAUAUAUGUGCCUUACAAAGAUAAAUUCGUUUUUGCUCAAGACACACAACAUUUGCUUUGCUUGGAAUAUAUGCCUAAUGGAAGUCUUGACAAUUACAUUUCAGAUGCAUAUGUGUCUUCUGGACUUGAUUGGCACACACGUUACAAAGUAAUUGAGGGCAUUGCCUUUGGUCUAAAGUAUCUUCACGAGGAAGCUACCGUUCCCAUUAUUCACUUGGACCUAAAACCUCCUAACAUAUUGCUUGAUGAAAAUUUUGUACCAAAAAUUACAGACUUCGGUCUGUCAAGAUUGUUUCAUCAAAAUCAGACUAUUCACACUGCAACUUAUACUGGAACAUUUGGUUACAUGGCGCUAGAAUACCAGCUACGAGGUAUAAUCACACCUAUGGCAGACAUAUUCAGUUUGGGUGUAAUAAUCAUGGAGGUAAUAACGGGGCACAGGAAAUACCCUUACCCAGAUGAUAUCAGAAAGUCUUCCAAGGACUUCAUCGAGCGAGAAGUUCAAAAAUGGAGAAUUAAGCUGCAAGAAGAACCAGGAUAUAUAUCACUAGAAGCAGACUGCCAACAAAUAGAAAAAUGCAUUCAGAUAGGUCUAAUUUGCGUGAAUCCUGAGCCAACAAAAAGGCCUACGGUGAAGAAAAUUAUUGAUAUGCUUCAAGGGUUGGAAAGUAUGGAAUGGUACAUUCGCAACGAGGUAACCCCACCUGUAGCCCAUGUAUGAUACCAUCAGCUAUCAAUCGACGGCAUCCAGGAGGAGCAGUAGAUUACAACCAAAAGAGGUUUUCACAACAAUAUCCAUUGCUUCUGUCUUCUUGCUUUGAUUUCACCACAGGGCUUUGGAUCUUGGUACAUACUUUCUCCUCGUGAGUAGCGUUUCUGUUUGACGACAACUACACCCAAGCAUUCAACUUGUUCGGUUUGCAGUCCUAGUUGUAGCCAGUGUAUGUCACAUCUGAAAGUGUCUUCUCCGCUCAAAUAGAAAUAUUCAGUACCAGGGACAAUGUCCCCAGGAGUUUGCACACAACAGCGGUUAGAUGAAGGGCUGGUUGCACUUUUUCAGCUUUGCAAACUGUGUCAGAUGAUCCGGUAUGAUUUCUGUGAAGAUUCUUUACUUCAGAUUAGCCAUUGAAUUGCAAUGAUACGUGGCAGAUCUAUACUAGUACUUCUUUACAGCUCGAAUUGUUCCAUGUAUCAGGACUGCAAUAAUUCAGUAAUUUUAUACUUUGUUUA